rnacentral:rRNA from 1 species
UGCUUACACAUGUAAGUCGCACGAGAACGCUUCAGCUUGCUGAAGUUAGUAAAGUGGCGCACGGGUGAGUAACGCGUGAGCAACCUGCCCCCGAAUCCGGGACAGCCUCGGGAAACCGUGAUUAAUACCGGAUGCGGUCCUGCGCUGCAUGGUGCGGUGACCAAAGAUCCGUUGUUCGGGGAUGGGCUCGCGUCCGAUUAGCUUGUUGGCGGGGUAACGGCCCACCAAGGCUGUGACAGGUAGCUGGUCUGAGAGGAUGAUCAGUCACACUGGGACCGAGACACUGCCCAGACUCCUACGGGAGGCUGCAGUCGAGAAUCUUCCGCAAUGGGCGCAAGCCUGACGGAGCGAUGCCGCGUGAGGGAUGACGGCCUUCGGGUUGUAAACCUCUGUCAGGGGGGACGAAGAAUGUGACGGUACCCCCAGAGGAAGCCACGGCUAACUACGUGCCAGCAGCCGCGGUAAUACGUAGGUGGCGAGCGUUAUUCGGAUUCACUGGGCGUAAAGGGUCCGCAGGGGGUUUGCCAAGUCUGAUGUGAAAUCCCGGGGCUCAACUCCGGAACUGCAUUGGAAACUGGCGGACUGGAGUCUGCGAGGGGUGAGCGGAAUUCCUGGUGUAGCGGUGGAAUGCGUAGAUAUCAGGAAGAACACCGACGGCGAAGGCGGCUCACUGGCGCAGUACUGACCCUCAUGGACGAAAGCGUGGGUAGCGAACAGGAUUAGAUACCCUGGUUAGUCCACGCCGUAAACGUUGUGCACUAAAUGCAGCCGGAUCUGAUCCCGGCUGUGUCCCAGCUAACGCGUUAAGUGCACCGCCUGGGGACUACGGCCGCAAGGCUAAAACUCAAAGAAUUGACGGGGGCCCGCACAAGCGGUGGAACAUGUGGCUCAUUCGAGGCAACGCGAAAAACUUACCUGGGUUUGACAUAAUCCCACCGCCGUGGAACACGGUUCCCUUCGGGGCGGAUACAGGUGCUGAUGGCUGUCUCACUCGUNCGCGAGGUGUCGGUUAGUCGGCACGA